rnacentral:lncRNA from 1 species
CAAAAAGCAAGCUUGAGUAGCUUGGGCUUCACCUCUUGUUUUCAGGAUGUGCUUACCUAAAGUGGAGAACACUGUUGGCGAGGACUGGUAGCUUAUGCUUAGGGAAGACACUGGACAUCUGUUUUCAGAUAUCACAAAGCUAAGAGACAGUGCUGAAAUCUAGGAUGAGUCACAGCAUCACCAAGAUUGGAGAAGACCUCCAAGAUCAUCCAGUCCAGCCCUCCACCUACCACCAUUUCUCCCCCCUAAAACAUGUCUGAGUACACACAGGAAAUGUGAAAGCCCACACCAGUACAACCACAGGUGCUGGGAGGCCCCCCUGCUGCUCCACCAUGCCUGCAACUCUCUGGUCCCUUAAAUUAACAUCCCUUUUCACCAGGCCUUCUUCUGCAGAGAAAGUUGGUAUUCUCUUGCCUGGUACAAAAAUCCUUAUCCCAGUCAUGAACAUGAGCUCUGUCAGAGGCCCUCUAAACCACAGCAGUCUGAAGGGAUAUUAUAUGGGAACUGUUGAGUCACGUUCUGAACCACUGAUUGAUCACUGGGGAAAGGACCCCAUCAGCCCUGGGAGCACAGGUGAAGGCAAUUCCGCUGUGUGAUCAGAAGGGGUGGAGCCUGGCUGCAUCUCUGUUAGACCCCAUUUAAGGGCUGACCCCCACUGGUUGGGGAUCCUUCCUUGUGGAGUUUUCUCUAUAAGCCUACCUACUCAGAGGUGGGUGAGCAUUCCUUUCCUGUUUGUCCCUUUUUCUAUUCUGUUCCUGCAUUUCCUUUCUACUGUGCUAAUCUUUCCAACUGUAACAGAUAUCACAUAAAUAAAAACACAUUGGGAGAGAUUUCAGUAUUAGCUACAAAGUGAUAUGUCUUAUUUCCAGUCAUAAAGAGUUCCAGUAAGACUUCUGAUAAAGCAAAGACAUCUUUAAUGAUCUUGCUCUGUGCCA